rnacentral:RNase_P_RNA from 1 species
AGCAGGCUGAGCAAUUGCGGGCGCUUCUGCGCGUGAGGAAAGUCCGAGCAUCACACAGCAGGGUAACGGCUAACGGCCGCCGAGGGUGACCUCCGGGACAGUGCAUAGAGAUAUACCGCCGCUUUUGCGGUAAGGGUGGAAAGGCGAGGUAAGAGCUCACCGGGAUAUUGGUAACAAUAUUGCCAAGUAAACCCUACCCGAUGCAACAUCGACUGAAGUUGUCAGCUGGGCAGAUACUUCGACGGAUGGCUUGAACGUGCCGGUAACGGUACGUCUAGACAGAUAAUUGCUUUAAAUGACAGAACUCGGCUUACAGGGCUGCUC